UGGGAUCCCGUGCUGAAGAAGAUUUCACCUCCCAUUCACCUGCAGCCAUUAUUGGAAGAUGCAGACACAGAGCAGCAGGACACAUGAAGAAGAGGACCAAGGUAGACUAGCAGAUGAAGAGGAGUCUUUACCCAGCUAUGUCCAGCAGUCAACAUUGGCCAAAGUGUACAGAGAGCAGGGAUGGACUACAGCCAACCAUUGAAGUAAUAUUAAUGGUUGAAUGGGAGACCAUCACCUUCAAGGAAGUGAAUCAAGAGAGAGGUUCAACUUGUCCAGUUUGUGAAGUAACAAGUGAAGAUGAGACCAUCAUCAGCAAGUAAAAGAAAG